GAUCAAUGCCUGACCACAGACUGCUGCAAGGACACAGCAGGUUAGAGAAAAUGGACUAUCGUAUAUCUUGAGGAAGUCAUUUACAUAUGGUCACAGACAGGAUUCCAGCAGGCCUGUUCAUCCGUACUUUACAAAUCACACGAAUGGACAUGCACAGCGUUAACAAGCUCUUUUAAAUAUUAAACAAUAUUGUACAAGCCAUAUCUUCCCAUUCCUUUCUUAAACCUGUCUUCUGUUUUUCACAAAUGUCAGGAUCCUUAUGUUUUCACAUCUAUAUAGUUCUCAACUCUCUGAACUAGUGCCUGGCCUUAGCCACUGCCUGCAACCUCAUUGAGGCAUGAGGCAUAAUGUGUACUUUUAUCAUCCCAUUAAACUGCUGUGUUUUUGUU